CUACGUGCCAGCAGCCGCGGUAAUACGUAGGUGGCAAGCGUUGUCCGGAAUUAUUGGGCGUAAAGCGCGCGCAGGCGGAUCAGUCAGUCUGUCUUAAAAGUUCGGGGCUUAACCCCGUGAUGGGAUGGAAACUGCUGAUCUAGAGUAUCGGAGAGGAAAGUGGAAUUCCUAGUGUAGCGGUGAAAUGCGUAGAUAUUAGGAAGAGCACCAGUGGCGAAGGSGACUUUCUGGACGAAAACUGACGCUGAGGCGCGAAAGCCAGGGGAGCGAACGGGAUUAGAUACCCCGGUAGUCCUGGCCGUAAACGAUGGGUACUAGGKGUAGGAGGUAUCGACCCCUUCUGUGCCGGAGUUAACGCAAUAAGUACCCCGCCUGGGGAGUACGACCGCAAGGUUGAAACUCAAAGGAAUUGACGGGGGCCCGCACAAGCGGUGGAGUAUGUGGUUUAAUUCGACGCAACGCGAGGAACCUUACCAGGUCUUGACA
rnacentral:rRNA from 1 species